CCUACGGGUGGCAGCAGUGAGGAAUAUUGCACAAUGGGGGAAACCCUGAUGCAGCGACGCCGCGUGAGUGAAGAAGUCCUUCGUUAUGUAAAGCUCUAUCAGCAGGGAAGAAAAGUACGGUACCUGAGUAAUAAUCCCCGGCUAACUACGUGCCAGCAGCCGCGGUAAUACGUAGGGGGCAAGCGUUAUCCGGAUUUACUGGGUGUAAAGGGAGCGUAGACGGCAGAUCAAGUCUGGAGUGAAAGUCUGGGGCUCAACCCCCGGACUGCUAUGGAAACUGUAAGGCUGGAGUGCAGGAGAGGUAAGUGGAAUUUCUAGUGUAGCGGUGAAAUGCGUAGAUAUUAGGAGGAACACCAGUGGCGAAGGCGGCUUACUGGACUGUAACUGACGUUGAUGCUCGAAAGCGUGGGGAGCAAACAGGAUUAGAUACCCCGGUAGUC
rnacentral:rRNA from 1 species